UACAGAGGUCUCAAGCGUUGUUCGGAUUCAUUGGGCGUAAAGGGUGUGUAGGUGGCGCCGUAAGUCGGGUGUGAAAUUUCGGAGCUUAACUCCGAAACUGCAUUCGAUACUGCGGUGCUUGAGGACUGGAGAGGAGACUGGAAUUCAUGGUGUAGCAGUGAAAUGCGUAGAUAUCAGGAGGAACACCGGUGGCGAAGGCGGGUCUCUGGGCCGAUACUGACGCUGAGGAGCGAAAGCGUGGGGAGCGAACAGG
rnacentral:rRNA from 1 species